CUCAACCAAUGGGCUGACUCUUUCAAUUAUCACUUCCCUCUCUCAACCAAUGGGCUCACUCUUUCAAUUAUCACUUCCCUCUCUCUCAACCAAUGGGCUCACUCUUUCAAUUAUCACUUCCCUCAUCCCUUGUCAUCAACAUCUCUUCAGAGACGAGGCCGUACCCCAAACUCUUUCAUCACAUUAUAUAUUAUAUAUAGGUACCCCAAACUAUUUCAUCACAUUAUAUAUUAUAUAUAGGUACCCCAAACUAUUUCAUCACAUUAUAUAUUAUAUAUAGGUACCCCAAACUAUUUCAUCACAUUAUAUAUUAUAUAUAGGUACCCCAAACUAUUUCAUCACAUUAUAUAUUAUAUAUAGGUACCCCAAACUAUUUCAUCACAUUAUAUAUUAUAUAUAGGUACCCCAAACUAUUUCAUCACAUUAUAUAUUAUAUAUAGGUACCCCAAACUAUUUCAUCACAUUAUAUAUUAUAUAUAGGUACCCCAAACUAUUUCAUCACAUUAUAUAUUAUAUAUAGGUACCCCAAACUAUUUCAUCACAUUAUAUAUUAUAUAUAGGUACCCCAAACUAUUUCAUCACAUUAUAUAUUAUAUAUAGGUACCCCAAACUAUUUCAUCACAUUAUAUAUUAUAUAUAGGUACCCCAAACUAUUUCACCACAUUAUAUAUUAUAUAUAGGUACCCCAAACUAUUUCAUCACAUUAUAUAUUAUAUAUAGGUACCCCAAACUAUUUCAUCACAUUAUAUAUUAUAUAUAGGUACCCCAAACUAUUUCACCACAUUAUAUAUUAUAUAUAGGUACCCCAAACUAUUUCACCACAUUAUAUAUUAUAUAUAGGUACCCCAAACUAUUUCAUCACAUUAUAUAUUGCAUUCAGAUAUAUUUAUUCAGUUAAGCCUGUACCCAAAUGAAAUGCCUUACAGUCUAUGGACGGGUAACACAUAGUACCUUUGUGUGUGUGUGUGUGUGUGUGUGUGUGUGUGUGU